GAUAUUGCCAAUUCGACUUAAUUGCUGCAUAACCAAACGUUAUUGGGCAAAUAGUAAAUUCUGCGAAUCAUUAGUCAAAGUUAGCAGACUUAUAUUUUAGACAAAAAACACUGGGUUACACACAACCACAACAAUUCCUGUCGAAAAGAAUCAUCAUCUGUAAAUGCUUUAAAUGAUCCCAGAAAUAAUAAAUAAUUGUGUGUGUUGAAAGGUUACUGAAAGCAAUUAAGUAAUAAACCAGUACUGAAUAUUUGCAACAACUUAAUUUUGCCACUGGAGCUGAUAAUGCGACGCCAAAUAAAAAACCAAAAUCUCGUCCAAGUACAAAAAUUGGGCUUGCUUCAUGUCGUAAAUAGCUCGGAUCUGG